UUUAUAUAUAAUAUAUAUUUAUAUAUAUUAUAUAUUUUUUAUAUAUUAUAUAUAUUUAUAUAUAUAUAUAUCUCUCUCCAGUUGCAUCCAUGUUGUUGGAAAUGACAGGAUGCCAUACUUUUUGACGGCUGAACAUUACUUCAUUGUCUAUAAGUAUACACACAAUAUACUGAUUUCUUUUAUUUCUUGUAUUUAGCCUAGUGCUGGGUAUAUAUACCCAGCACUGGGCUUGCUGGAUGAUAUGGUAGCUCAAUGUUUAGUUUUUUAAAUAGCUUAUUUGCCUUAUCUCUUUGCUUUCCCCCUGUUCCCACUAGCCAGACUCCUUUUCCCUAAUUAGGACUCCACAGUAAAUCCAAAUAUAUUCUGAAGGCUAUCUAUGUUACAGGUUUUCUUACCACACCUGACAGAAAGAAAAACAAAGAAAAGGUAUAAAAUAACUUACAGGGCCGGGUGCGGUGGCUCAAGCCUAUAAUCCUAGCAUUUUGGGAGGCCAAGGCACGCAGAUCACCAGGUCAGGAGUUAAAGACUAGACUGGCCAAUAUGGUGAAAUCCCAUCUCUACUAAAAAGACAAAAAAAACUUAGCUGGGAGUAAUGGCUUAUGGCUGUAAUCCCAGCUACUCGGGAGGCAGAGGCAGGAGAAUUGCUGGAACCCAGGAGAAGGAGGAUGCAGUGAGGCAAGAUCGUGCUACUGCACUGCAGCCUGGGUGACAGACUGAGACUCCGUCUCAAAAAAUAAUAAUAAAAAUAAUAAAAAAUAAAAUACCUUAUAAUUGGCCAGGUGUGGUGGCUCAUGCCUGUAAUCCCAGCACGUUGGGAGGCCGAGGCAGGCAGAUCACUUGAGGACAGGAGUUCAAGACCAGCCUGGCCAACAUAGCGAAAUGCCGUUUCUACUAAAAAUACAAAAAUUAGCCGGGCAUGGUGGCCCACACCUGUAAUCCCAGCUACUCAGGAGGUUGAAGCAGGAAAAUUGCUUGAACCUGGGAGGCGGGAGUUGCAGUGAGUCGAGAUCGCACCACUGCACUCCAGCCUGGGUGACACAGUGAGAUUGUCUCAAAUAACAACAAACAAACAAACAAAACACCUUAUAAUUUGCAAAUAAAAAGUAUCUUUUCUAGUUACUUGCAGAAUGCACGUAAAGUGAAUUUAAAAUUCUGCCGUGAUAAAAGUUCAUCUUAUCAAUUGGGUCACUCUUGCCACAUCCAACUUAUACAGGAGGUAAAAAUAAACUAUUUAGGCAGACAGUAAGGGCAAAAACUCCUCUGCAGAGCUUCCCUUCUAACAAAAAGCUGCCCAAAAUAUCGUUUUGUUCUAACAAAGAGCAGCCCGAAAAAUCGAUCUGCAAACAUACGUAAGCAAGCUGGAAGCUUGCAUGGGGGAAGUCAGCAGCUGUGCCAAUAGAAAAGGGGCUACCUUGGGGCUAGGCAUGUCCACCAUGGAAGCUCCGUCUUUCCUUUUUUGUUAGCACGUGUACAGUAAGAAAGAAAUGGGUAACAUGGCACAGCUCAGGCAAAGAACCUGCAUAAUAAAAGAUUGGGGAGGGGGCUGCCAGAAAUUCAUGCCGUAUGCAAAUGUUACAUCUGGUCCUAUGUAGAUAAGACACUACCUCCCCACCAGCUCAUCUAUAAAACCCCUACGUUUUGCCACGAAUCUGCAAACCAUUUUUCCAGGACCUCUCUCUGUAGCAGAGAGCUAUUGACUUUCUUUCGCCUAUUGAACUUCCACUCUUAACGCCACUCUUGGGUGUCCGUGUCCUCGAUUUCCGUGGCCAUGAGACAACGAACAUCAGGUAUUACCCCAGAAAAUGAGGCUGCCUCACAACUAAACCAAAGUCAAGAGGACAGAUGAAAAAUGAACUCAGGAUACAAACAUUGCUUCAAGAACGUGAUUCUCUGAAGUAUGGCUGCUGAAACUUCCUGUUGUAACCAGAAACCCCUGAAACCAGCUUUUUUUUUUUUUUUUUUUUUUUUUUUUUUUUUUUUUGGACAGUCUUCUCUGUCACCAGGCUAGAGUGAAGUGGCACAAUCUCGGCUCACUGCAACCCAUGACUCCCUGGAUCAAGCGAUUCUCCAGCCUCAGCCUCUGAGGUAGCGGGGAUUACAGGCACAUGCCAAGAUGCCCACUAAUUUUUGUAUUUGUAGUAGAGACAAGGUUUCACCAUGUUGGCCAGGAUGAUCUUGAACUCCUGACCUUGUGAUCCAACCGCCUUGGCCUCCCAAGGUGCUGGGAUUACAGGCAUGAGCCAACGUGCCAGCCAAGAUUUUUCUUUUAGCUGCUAAAAUAAAUUACCUGGGACUUUAAAAAUAGUUUGUGAACGAAGUAUCUGAGACAAAUCUCAAUCAGUUUAGAAAGUUUAUCUUGCCAAGGUUAACUGCAUGCCCACGACACAGGCUCAAGAGGUCCUAAUGUCAUGUGCCCAAUAUGGUCUAGGUAGAGCUUACAUUUUAGGGAGUCAUGACGUAUCAGUAAGUGUCAGAUGUACGUUGGUUAAGUCGGGAAAGGUGGAACAACCCAAAGCGGGGUGGGGGGUGGAUUCCAGGACAUAGGUAAAUAAGAGACAAAUGGUUGUUUUCUUUGAGUCUCUGAUUAGCCUUUUGUACUUUGAGUAAUUUUGUUCUCACAUAUUUUAUUUUAUUUUGAGAUGAGGUCUUGCUCUUUUGCCAGAUACUCAGGAGGCUGAGGCAGGAGAAUCAUCUCAACCCAGGAAACAGAGUUUGUGGAGGGUUUGGAGUAAGACGUCUGCAUCCCGGGGGAGCUCAUUUUCCAGGGGCUGGAGCUGGGCAGGCAAGGACACCCCGUGUCACAGGACAGGCCCCGGACACCUUCCCAACGCGGGCUCAGGGGAAGCGGUGACGGCGGAGAGGAGACCUGGGGAGCAGCAGGGCCCGGCACGAGAAGGGAG
rnacentral:lncRNA from 1 species